rnacentral:lncRNA from 1 species
GUAAAUGGUGAGAAGUAAAAGUUUAGGGGAAAAAUAAAAAGUUUUGGGGAAUAAAAGUUUGAAGGAAAGUAAAUAGGGGGAGUAAAAUUUUGGAGGGAAAAUAUUAAAAAAAAAAUUGGAGGGGGGAGGGUUUGGGGUAGAUGAGAGGUGGGAUGGGAAGGGAAUAAAAGUUUUAGGGGAAAAGUGGGAGGGAGUAAAAAUUUUGGGGGAAAAUAAAAGGUUUUGAGGGUUUUUGGGAGUAAAAUUUUGAGAAAAAGUAAAUGGGAAAGUAAAAUUUUAGUGGGAAGUGGAUUUUGGGUAGAUUGGGGGUUGGGAGGGGAGUAAAAGUUUUGGGGGUAAGUGGGAAGGAGUAAAAGUUUUGAGGGAAAAGUAAAAAGGUUUGGGAGUUUGGGGUAAAAAUGUAAAAUAUUAUAGUUUGAUAUUCGAAUUAUUCGAGUUAUUCGAAUUCUAAAACUCAACUCGAUUCGUUUAACUCGAAAUUCAAAUAUUUUUUUCGAUUUUUUCGAAUUGAAUCGGGUUUUGCUCACCCCUAUACAGGGCUAUUCGACGUCGACUUUAUCUUCCCC